AAAAGGGAGGAGUCAUUCGUAAAGACAAACAGGCUUAGAGCGACACCUUUUGGGCGGAAUUAUUAUUAUUCGGAUACUGUGAGUUUUCUGGGCUGUGUGGCCAUGUUCCGGAAGCAUUAUCUCCUGACGUUUCGUCCACAUCAAUGGCAGGCAUCUUCAGAGGCUGUGAGGAGCAUACUAUCUUUUGAAGGUGUCACGUUGGCGUUGGAAUAAACAAGUGUUUUCCAUCACCUCCUGAUUCAGACGGUGUGAGCUCCCAUCUGUCAGCUCUAGCUUGCGGGGACAUGAGAGAAGCCUCCUAGCAGGAUGGUAACACAUCUGGGUUUCUCCUGGGCAACAUCGCUGUAGACAGCCAAUUCUCUCACACCAAAAGCGACUUGCGGUAUGUUCUCAAGUCGCUUCUAACACAAUAAAAAACCCAUCCUGAUUUGCAUGCACUUCACCCAGUAAGUACCGCAGCAUGAAUGGGCAUGAAGCCUUGAGGAAGUGCCACUGAGUGGAAGAAUAGCAACAUUUGUACAUGGUGUUGCCUUUCGCCUUGAAAUGAAUGAAUGCGUCCAGAUAAGAUGAACACAAGGCGGCUGAUGCCAACCCACCAUAAUGGCAAGGUCUUUAUUUCCCCCAACCCAGGGUGCCUGAGCCAUAGUUUAGAAAGGUUCCUUUUUUCUGUUGCAUCACAACCCCUAGAAAUCCCACCCCAAAAUGAUGUGGCCAUUGGAGGAUUCUGGAAGUUGCUGUCCAAAAAAAGAUAUAGCUUGGUGUUUUAUAUUUGUGUGACUUCCUGUAGGGAAAUGGUGCAGCAUUUGUGUCCAGAGCAGAGCAGAACGGCUACAUAAAGGGCAAUGUGGGGUGUUAACACUAUGUAGUUAAUGCAGUUUGACGUCACUUGAACUACCAUGGCUCAAUGCUAUGGAUGACAACACUUGGGCAAUAGAAUACUAUAUUAAGAGCAGUGUAUUCUUUAUGCAUGGAGAAAAGAAUUAACCUGUGUUAAUUUGUGUUGAUAUGAUGAGUACGAAAACUUUUAGAAAACACUAGCUUAUAUAACCAGUGUUGCCUGGUAUGAAUUUCUUAAUGCAAUAAUUCAAUGAGUAUUUCUAAUCAAUAAUAUUGGAAAAUUCAUACCUGGACAAUGUAUAUAUUAUAGAUGGAUGGGUAAUAGGUAAAGGUAAAGGUUUUCCCCUGACAUUAAGUCCAGUCGUGUCCGAUUCUGUGGGUUGGUGCUCAUCUUUAUUUCUAAGCCGAAGAGCCGGCGUUGUCCGUAGACACCUCCAAGGUCAUGUGGCCGGCAUGACUGCAUGGAGAGCUGUUACCUUCCUGCUGGAGAGGUACUUAUUGAUCUACUCACAUUUGCAUGUUUUCAAACUGCUGUUGGUAAUAUACGGUAUAUAUAUCUAUAUAUCCAUCUAUCCAUCCAUCCACCCACCCCUGGUUUGGCAACCUUAUUUACCUGUUCCAUUGUGACUUGCAAGUAAAUCUUUCAGGUUGAGUGAAAGACUAUAAGCAAGGAAAGAGCAAUGACAAAUGUGGCUCCCCAGCAUGGGAACUAGAUUACUGGGGAUACUGUUGUUUGAGUGGAUUUAGGUAGGAAUGCAACAAGAGUUCUUCUGUCGUCCUCCCUUCUGGAUUUGUUCAGUAAGCGAUUAGUCAAGGAUUCCACCUUGAUAUGUUCUGCCCACAGUCAAAUGGCCAAGAAACAUGGCAAACUGUGAGCUCUUCACUUCUCCUAAAAGACGUAGUUCCUCUGUACGUCUUCCGUGUUUGCCGGCGUAAACCGGUGUGGAAAAGUACAUAUGUAGGGCUAUGCGUGACUGAGGAAGCUGGUCCGAAACCAAAACAAAACCUACAGGCACAAACCUCAAACCAGUUUGACAGGAAUGUCUUCUAAGAGCAGAAGAAUGGAGAGAUAUGACCUGAGAACAGCUGAGAAAGUAUGGAAAAAUUAUUAUUAUUUUCCUAUUUUAUUUAUUCAAAAUACUUACUGUUACCUUUUUAAUUUAAUGAAUGACUCAGUUAGAAAAGACAUACCUGGGCAAUGCUAUGUACAUAAGCUGGGGUUUUGUAAAAGUUUUAGCAUCAUCACAGAUUACACUGCUCUGAAUAUUGGAUUAUGUUAAGAAUUGCAUUAUUACCCAAGUUUUGUGAUCUUAAGGACACCUUUCUCCCUUCUCCAGCUCUGCCUGGCCCUCUGAGAAGGCUUCCCUUCAGAUGUCUCCAUAGCAAAGUCUUUAUCGCAAUAUCUCCAUGAGAAUAGUACCUCCUUGCUGAUGCUCAAACCCUCUUCUACUCGUAUUUGUCAUUCAUUUCCCCAUCUGAGGCAGCCUUUCAAUCUACAUAGUGCCCGCUUGUGGUUGCCUCUGAGUGCUGCAUACAUACAUAGAUAUUUAUUCAUUUUGGGGGCCCUAGCCUCCAAAGGGGUGGACUGUUUAGUUGGGAUCUACCAGUAUUUUAAAUUGGAUCAAGAAGGAUAUGUCUACCAAGUUUGGUCCAGAUCCAUCAAGUCAUGUAGGAGUUUUUGUGGAACAUACAUACAUACAUACAUACAUACAUAUGUUAGAUAUCUAGAUACUGUAGAUACAAACGUUUUUCAAGGCAAUACUCUCAUCCUGAAAUUCCUCCCCUUGCCCCAAGGAUUAGGGGGAAAAAGGUCCAAGUAUGGAAUCCUGGGAGCUGUAUUUUUGCAAGGUCUUGAGCCUUCUUUGCCAAAGAGUGCUGGUGCCUCACCAAACUACAACUCCCAGGAUUCUAUAACAUUGAGUCAGGGCAGUUAGUAACAGUGAGGUCAAGCUGCAUUAAUUCCACAAUGUAGAUGCACCCCAAUUUGCAAACAAGGAAAUUGGCAGGGAACAUUGUGGCCCUCCACUAGUGCAAGCACAAUGUUCAUCUCCAGAAAAGGCUUAUUUAUGGAGAGGAGGUGAGCGUCAUAAAGGUACUAUUUGGAGACAUCAUUCUUCCUUAGUCCUUCCUUCUCAGAUGGCAAAAGCGUGACUUGGGGAACGGCAGACCGACGCAGGCAGCGAAGAAAUCCUACGUCUCUCGCGGGACGCUUUCAAACCCUGAAGCCACAAAUAUUCCGUAACAUAGAUGUCUUUGUUUUGACAGGAGCUUUUCCUGGAAUCUUCAACAAGGAAGUAGUAAAUUGGGAAAGAGUUGUCAUAAAUGGUUGUUGGGGUUUUGUUUUGGGUUUUUUUGCAAGAAACUAUACCAGACAAAUCUGAAGCGGAGGGCUAACUUCUCUUCUGGCAAAUUGCACAGCAAAAAUGCUCACACAGAUAACACCAAAAGCCAGGUCCAGGUAACAUGGGAUGGAUUUGGAGACCAUCUGGUUUUCCCAUUUUAACAGCCCUAUGUGUCCCAGAUGAAUGGAAAAGGCAAUGUCCCAAUUUGGCAGGUUUUGUCCCAAUUCAUCCAAGAUCUAGGACUGUGGUUCUCAACCUGGGGUCCCCAGGUGUUUUGGCCUUCAACUCCCAAAAAUCCUAACAGCAGGUAAACUGGCUUGGAUUUCUGGGAUUUCUAGGCCAAAACACCUGGGGACCCAAAGGUUGAGAACCACUGAUCUAGGAAAAUCUCACUCUGAGAUUUCUCCUCAGAUUCCUGGCCCUGAGAAGAGCUACAACCCCCCGCCCCCAAGAUCUGUGAAAAUCUCAUUUUUCAAGGCAAUGCUCUCACGCUUGAAAUUCCUCUUCCUUGUCCUGAUAACCAUCAAGCCCAGCUCACUGUUUACCUAAGCAGUUUUAAAACAGCUUAGAGCUGUAAGUAGAGAAAUUAGGUACUGCAAAUUGCGGGAAAGGUAUUUUACGACACCAUAAAGAGCAAGACCAGAAAUGUGGUGACCAAGAGGAAGGUGCAAGGAAGAAGUCCUUGGCUCUUCGUCAUAGAGAAUGGAGCAACAACAUCCCCCUGUGACUGAAUCCGAACUCAACCUCCAUGGCAUCACAACUGGACUUUGAGACAACAUACCUCCUUUCUGUCUGUUCUGUUCUGUUCUGUCCUGUCUGUCCAAACGGCAUUGAAUGAUUGCUGGGUAUGUGUACUGUGAUCCACCCUUAGUCCCCUUGGGGAGAUAGGGCAGAAUAUAAAUAAAGUAUUAUUAUUAUUAUUAUUAUUAUUAUUAUUAUUAUUAUUAUUAUUAGGGAGCCUCCAGUGGCUCAGUGUGUUCAAGCGCUGAGCUGCUGAACUUGCAGACCGAAAGGUCUCAGGUGCUAGUCUCUAAGAUGCUAGUUCUGACCUUUAAAACUCUUUACGGCCAGGGCCCAUCGUACCUUAGGGACCGUCUCUCCUUCUCCCAUCAUCGGAGGUCGCAACGACCGGGUCCUAGAGAAGUGCACUUGGAAAGGACCAGACGCAGAGCUUUUUCUAUUUCUGCCCCUGCCUUAUGGAAUGCCUUGCCGCCCUACAUGAGAGCCAUGCUUUUAUCUUGUAAAUUGCCUAGAGCAUCAUGGAUGGAGGGCGAUUAAUAAGUAAUUAAAUGAUGAUGAUGAUGAUGAUGAUGAUGAUGAUGUUCAAAUCCGGGGAGCAGAGUGAGCGCCCGCUGUUGCUCCAGCUUCUGCCAACCUAGCAGUUCGAAAACAUGCCAAUGUUAUCUGUCUGUAUGGAGCCGUAGUGGUGCAAUGGGUUAACCCUUAUGCCGGCUGGACUACUGACCUGAAGGUUGGGUUGCAGACCUGAAGACUGCCGUGAGACAUGCAUUUAUAUUCUGCCCCAUGGAAGCCCCAGUGGUGCAGCGGAUUAAACCGCUGAGCUGCUGAACUUGCUGACCAAAAAGUUGUCUGUUCGAAUCCAGGGAGUGGGGUGAGCUCCUGCUGUUAGCCCCAGCUUCUGCCAACCUAACAGGUUCCAGGACCACCCGCAAUAAGUGAAAAUCCGCGAAGACAAUUGGAUGCCGGCUGCUUCUCGUCAGAGCCGAGAAAAAGAGAGAAAAUGUCACUGUGACACAAAAGGGGAUGACUAAACCUUACUAAUGAAAACGAUGACAGGGGAAAGUGACCUGACUAAUCCGCCAGCGAACGCACAAUUAUGUGUGCCUGUAUCCCUGUUUUUCUGGGAUUUAAAACCUGGAGGUGGGGAAGGGGGUAAUUUUGGUUUAGUGUUUCAGAAGCUAGGGUUGGCAUGGCCUGAAAUUUCAUGAUCCAUUCCAUUUGGGGGAGCCCUCAGUGGUGCAGCGUGUUAAAGCAUUGAGCUGCUGAACUUGCAGACUGAAAGGUCGCAGGUUCAAAUCGAGGAGCAGAAUGAGCGCCUGCUGUUAGCCCCAGCUUCUGCCAACCUAGCAGUUCGAAAACAUGCAAAUGUGAGUAGAUCAAUAGAUACCACUCUGGCAGGAAGGUAACGGCGUUCCAUGCAGUCAUGCCAGCCACAUGACCUAGGAGGUGUCUACAGACAACGCCCGCUCUUCGGCUUAGAAAUGGAGAUGAGCACCAACCCCCAGAGUUGGACACGACUAGACUUAAUGUCAGGGGAAAACCUUUACCUUUACCUAUUCCAUUUGGAUCCCAUGCUCUUGGACUGACCUGAUUCUGCAGGGACAAUCCCAAUCAUCCCCAGCCAUCCUAUUUUUCCCAUCUGGAAUGAAAAGAAACCUUGAAAAAAAAGCCUGCAAGUGUGGAGGACCUACUAUAGUAUACCUUCAACACAUUUUGCAGGGCUGCUUUAAAGUUCUGACUAAACCCCAGAACGGAUUCACAUGGGAGCCUAUAUCCACUGUGACUUAAAUGUCUCUAGCUGCACAUAGAAUCCUAGAGUUGGAAGAGACUUCGUGGGUCAUCCAGUCCAUCCCCAUUCUGCCAAGAAGCAGGAAUAUCGCAUUCAUAGUACACCUGACAGAUGGCAUCCAGGCUCUGCUUAAAAGCCUCCAAAGAAGGAGCCUCCACCACACUCGGCCACAGAGAGUUCCACUGCUGAACAGCUCUCACAGUUAGGAAGUUCUUCCUAAUACUCAGGUGGAAUCUCGUGUAGUUUAUAGCCAUUGUUCCAUGUCCUAGUCUCCAUGGCAGAAGAAAACAAGCUUGCUUCCGCCUAUAACUUCCCUUCACAUAUUUCCUCAUGGCCCUCAUCAUGUCUCCUCUCUGCCUUCUCUUCUGCAGGCUGAACAUGCCCAGCUCUUUAAGCCGCUCCUCAUAGGGCUUGUUCUCCAGACCCUUGAUCAUUUGAUCUGUCUAUAUAUGUCGUAUGUCUAAUGGCAUUGAAUGUUUGCCAUGUAUAUGUGCAUUGUGAUCCACCUGAGUCCCCUUUGGGGUGAGAAGGGUGGAAUAUAAAUACUGUAAAUAAAUAAAUAAAUAAAUACAACAACGACGACAACAAGAACAACACAUUUGAGUCGCCCUCCUCUGGACACAUUCCAGCUUGUCAACAUCUUCCUUCAGUUAUGGUGCUUUGUUGCUAAAUUACUUCCGAACUGGAGAAUAUCUGUGGUAAUAUUAGCUGCAGAGGGAUGAGCAGUCCCAUUUCCUCCUCUGCUUAGUGUUUCACCACAGAAAACCGUUGCAUUAUUUCUAAAACCCAUCUCUCUUACCGUCAACCCUCGCACCAAGUAAGAGCUGGAAAACAAAACACAGUUGACGGGGAAUAGCUUUAACACCCCGAUCAUUCAGAUUCCUGUCAGGUUAAUGAGCACUUGACUGUGGGACGGGCUUUGUCUUCUUCUAGCCAGAACUUGUCCGCACUGUGACUUCAUCUCCUAAACUUCCUAAUGAGGACAGUUUUCAAUAAAGAUCCUUUUUUGUCUUCUCCGGCCAUUUCCAGCUUAGCCGAAUCAUACGCCAGGAAUGCUAUCGUUUCCAUGUUAUUACAGACCCCACUGUUGUGGUCGGACUAAUGUCAGCAAUAGGUCAUGCUUGGCAAAUGUGGAAGGGAGGAGAAUGUUCAGAAAGUUGGGUGGAAAUCUCUGGAAAACAACCAGAUGCAGUCCAAGGGUGUAUCUACACUGUAGAAUGAAUGCAGUUUGACACCACUUUAACUGCAAUGGCUCCAAGAUACGGUAUCCUGGGAGUUGUAAUUUUGCAAGGUCUUUUGUCUUACCAAAGUGAUAUUCCCAAGAUUCCAUAUCAUGGAGCCACGGCAUUAAAGUGGUGUCAGACUGCAUUCAUUUUACAGUGUAGAUGCACCUCUAAUCAAUCUAACAUGGGUUAAAAGUAAAGGUUUUCCCCUGACAUUAAGUCUAGUCGUGUCCGACUCUGGGGGUUGGUGCUCAUCUCCAUUUCUAAGCCGAAGAGCGGGUGUUGUCCAUAGACACCUCCAAGGUCAUGUGGCCAGCAUGACUGCAUGGAGCGCUGGUACUAUCCCUCCAGAGCGGUACCUAUUGAUCUACUCGCAUUUACAUGUUUUCGAACUGCUAGGUUGGCAGAAGCUGGGGCUAACCGUGGGUGCUCACUCCGCUCUCUGGAUUCGAACUGCCAACCUGUCGGUCAGCAAGUUCAGCAGGUCAGCGCUUUAACACGCUGCGCCACCGAGAGCCCAUGAAUUGCGAAUUCAAUUGCACUUUCAAGGUGUAUUUUUGGAAGGUGGCUGUCGAUUCGUGAAGAUAACAAGAUAGAGGGUGCAUCUACACUGUAGAAUUAAUGCAGUUUGACACCACUUUAAAUCUAUGGCCCAAUACUAUGCAAUAAUGGGAGUUGUAGUUUGGUAAGGCACCAGCCCUCUUUGGCAGAGAAGGGGACAGACCGUGUGAAAUGAGAAUCCCUAACUAGAGGCUAUCCUUAUAUCCAGACCUCAGAGUCUGGACAUAUUCUCAAAUGGUAAUGCCACCUCCCAAAUGGUUUAAAUGCAGAUCUGUAUUUGUAUUUGUUCAGCUCCUUUGGCUGCUUUUUGUGCGCUUGUGGAUCGGUGUUUUGUGUGUGAGCGAAGCCACUUAAAGGGCCGGCUCCCACUACGUUUCCCUGCCGCUCAAGACAGGAAGGCAAAUAUAUUACUUUUCAUGGUGGAUGGCAGGGAUCCAAGCACAUCUAGCGGAGGAAGGAAGCAAUCUUAUCAGUCCUCCUGGCCCAUUGAUAAAAACCACAGAAGGAAAUCAUUCAGCUUUCAACGAGGAAAGGGAAGUCUUAAAUGAGAAUUAGAUGUCGCCUUGGGAGCUUUCAAGCCGUCAGAAAUUGCACACGCAAAGCCAAGAAGGCUUUCAACCCGCGCGGUGCGAGAUCGGAGCAGAAUUAACCUCCUCCUCAUGGUCUGUACAGUUCUAACAAAGCGAGUGAGGAUGGUAUGUUGUCCUUGGGUACAUCUGCACUGUAGAGUUAAUGCAGUUUGACCCCACUUUAGCUGCCAUGGCUCAGUGCUGUGAAAUCACGGGAGUUGUAGUUUGACAAGGUCUUUGGCCUCCUCUAACAAAGUGUGCUAGGACCCAAUCAAAUCUACAGCGUAGAAUCAGAUGCAUCCACCCACACCACCAUCUCUUGGAUUUGGGAGUUUUACCAUUGACCAGAAGUGUCACACAUUUUUAAUGUAAAUAUAUAUGAUUAAUCUUGAAAAAGGGAACCAUGCCAAAAUGUGAAAUUAAUUUAUGAUUUAUAUACACAUUGUUCACAUAGGAGCCCCUGAUGGCACAGCGGGUUAAAUCUCUCUGCUGCUGAAUUUGCUGACCGAAAGGUCUGCAGUUCAAAUCCGGGGAGCGGGGUGAGCUCCUGUUGUUAGCCCCAGCUUCUGCCAACCUAGCAGCUCAAAAACAUGCAAAUGUGAGUAGAUCAUUAGGUACUGCUCUGGCAGUCAUGCCGUCCACAUGACCUUGGAGGCGUUUACGGACAAUGGUGGCUCUUCGGAUUAGAAAUGUAGAUGAGCACCGGACACGACUAGACUAAAUGUCAGGGAAACACCUAUUCACAUAGCUUGGAUGUAAUUGUCUAAAAAAAUUAAAAAUAAUUUUAUGUUCAAGACAAAGUUUGUGUACAUUGAACCAUCAAGAAAGCAAAGGGUUCGCGAUCACUACCCAUAAGGACAUUUUCAGAUUUCGAGUAUUUUAGAUUAUUGGAUGCGGGAGUUCAGCCUGUUCCUUUAGACUGAAGUAUUUAUUGGGGGUUUUGCUUGCUUUUUCUUUGUGGGUGAGGAUAGGGAUAGAAUAGUGUCUGUUAGGUUUGCUGUUUUAGGGUUUUAAAAAGAAUUACAGUAGAGUCUCACUUAUCCAACAUAAACAGGCCGGCAGAACGUUGGAUAAGUGAAUAUGUUGGAUAAUAAGGAGGGAUUAAGGAAAAGCCUAUUAUACAUCAAAUUAGGUUAUGAUUUUACAAAUUAAGCACCAAACCAUCAUGUUUAACAACAAAUUUGACAGAAAAAGUAGUUCAAUACGCAGUAAUGCUAUGUAGUAAUUACUGUAUUUACAAAUUUAACACCAAAAUAUCAUGAUGUAUUGAAAACAUUGACUACAAAAAUGUGUUGGAUAAUCCAGAACGUUGGAUAAGUGAGACUCUACUGUAUUUGUUUCUAGUUUUGGUGUGUAAGUACAAUGUACAUCAGAAGUGGUCAGUGCACUUCUCAUGCACACCAGGACUAGCCAAUGCAAAUUGUCUCUUGAUUCAGAUAGGAAUCUAGUUUUUUUUUUGUUUUUUUUCGUGUCAGGAGUAACCGAAGUUGCUUCUGGAGUGAGAGAAUUGGCCGUCUGCAAGGACGUUGCCCAGGGGACGCCCGGAUGUUUUUGAUGUUUUACCAUCCUUGUGGGAGGCUUCUCUCAUGUCCCCGCAUGGAGCUGGAAGAGGGAGCUCAUCCGCACUCUCCCCAGGUGGGAUUCGAACCUGGCAACUUUCAGGUCAGCAACCCAACCUUCCAGUCACUUAGUCCACUACGCCAUCUGGGGGCUAGGAAUCUAGUGAUCUAAUCGCUCUUAGGAUAUUAUCACAUGUGGUGGAGUCCCCUGUGGCGCAAUGAGUUAAACCCUUGUGCUGGCAGGACUGCUGACCAAUAGGUCAGCGGAUCGAAUUUGGGGAGAGCAGGGUGAGCUCCCUCUGUCAGCUGCAGCUCCCCGUGCGGGGACAUGAAAGAAGCUUCCCACAAGGAUGGUAAAACAUCAAACAUCUGGGUGUCCCCUGGGCAACGUCCUAACAGAUGACCAAUUCUCUCAUACCAGAGCAACUUGCAGUUUCUCAACUCGCUCCUGAUAUGGAAAAAAAUUGUAUGUGGUUCGUAAUGCAAGUUAUAGCUUCCCCAUUUAGGAAGAGAAGCCCUUCCUUAAAGACAGACCAGGUAGUGAUGCCUUUGAGGCUGAUGAGCAUGGAUGCAGGUGGUCUUUGGCAUCCCACCUGCCUUUGUCGGACAGGAUCUAACUGUGAAUGUUGUGUCUAAUUUCCAAAGUCUUUCCUUACCCUUUUACCUCCUGCCCAUAUUUUUAGCAUAAACUAAAACCUUAGUGAUUCCUACUGCUCUGUUUCAUUUUCAGGUGCCCUGUUUUGUUAUCAUUGACUCACUGGUGUGGUUGUCAAACCUGAUUUAUCAGAGCCCUGUUCCCAAUGACCUUUAGAGUACGGCAUGUUACAGCAGCCAAGUCUUCUCUCUCACCCCCACCCCAAACUCCCAGGAACAAAGAGAGGAAUGAGUUGACAUGGCUGUGCCCUCUUACACUCGGCUACAUUUACGAGGUGACAGGACAGCUCUGUACGGUUCUAUUAGUCUGUAGGUCAGUCAUGAUGCGAGAUCGGGGUGUAUCACACCUGGAAACUUGUCUCCUUCCUGGAUUAUUGUUGCCUGCUGUGGCAGUUACCUGGAGGAGGAGCAGGUUCCAAAGAUGCACACAGACCCUCUUGUCACAACACAAAACAACACAGAUGAGUUUGGACAUUAUCACACAAGGAAGAGUCAUGGAACAACAGUGGUGUCGGAUCCAUUGAGGAGUUUUCCAAUGCCUCACUAAACUGCAACUCCCAGGAUCCCUUUGCAUUGAGCCAUUGAAGUUAAAGUGGUGUCAAACUGCAUUAAUUUUACAGUGUAGAUCAGUGGUUCCCAACCUUUUUUUGACCAGGGACCACUCUCCAAUAUUAGUACAGUAGAGUCUCACUAAUCCAAGCCUCGCUUAUCCAAGCCUCUGGAUUAUCCAAGCCAUUUUUGUAGUCAAUGUUUUCAAAAUAUCGUGAUAUUUUGGUGAUAAAUUCAUAAAUACAGUAAUUACAACAUAACAUUACUGUGUAUUGAACUACUUUUUUGUCAAAUUUGUUGUAAAACAUGAUGUUUUGGUGCUUAAUUUGUAAAAUCAUAACUUAAUUUGAUGUUUGAUAGGCUUUUCCUUAAUCCCUCCUUAUUAUCCAAUAUAUUCGCUUAUCCAAGCUUCUGCCGGCCCAUUUAGCUUGGAUAAGUGAGACUCUACUGUACCAAAAGGGCCUAGCACUUUAUAGUUGGCCUUACCCAUGCUGAAGCCCUGGUCAUCAUAUCUGGCCCCAUUUUGUAACUGGUUUUUAAAUUUUUGUUGUUGUUUUGAAUUGUAUGUUCUUGUUUCAUGUUUAUUAUUUUUUAUUAUGUUUAAUUUUGUUAAACAUAAUUGUACAUUGUUGCAUUGUUUCUUUUGCUAUGUUGGAAACCACCCUGAGUCCUCUCGAGAAGAUAGGGCGGUAUAUAAAUAAAGUACAGUAGAGUCUCACUUAUCCAACACUCGCUUAUCCAACAUUCUGGAUUAUCCAACGCAUUUUUGUAGUCAAUGUUUUCAAUACAUCAUGAUAUUUUGGUGCUAAAUUUGUAAAUACAGUAAUUACUACAUAGCAUUACUGAGUAUUAAACUACUUUUUCUGUCAAAUUUGUUGUAUAACAUGAUGUUUUUGUGCUUAAUUUGUAAAAUUAUAAUGUAAUUUGAUGUUUAAUAGGCUUUUCCUUAAUCCCUCCUUAUUAUCCAACAUAUUCGCUUAUCCAACGUUCUGCCGGCCCGUUUAUGUUGGAUAAGUGAGACUCUACUGUAUUAUUAUUAUUAUUAUUAUUAUUAUUAUUAUUAUUAUUAUUAUUAUUAUUUAUUGGGGUUACGGAUCAGUUUUUGGUCAACUUUAGAUUCAUCCCCUGGUGGCACAGCAGGUUAAACCGCUGAGCUGCUGAACUUGCUGAGCGAACGGUCACCAGUUCGAAUCCAGGGAGCGGGGUGAGCUCCCGCUGUUAGCCCCACCUUCUGCCAAACUUGCAGUUUGAAAACAUGCAAAUGUGAGUAGAUCAAUAGGUACUGCUUUGGCGGAAAGGUAACGGCACUCCAUGCUGUCAUGCCAGUCACAUGACCUUCGAGGUGUCUAUGGACAACGCCGGCUCUUUGGCUUAGAAAUGGAGAUGAGCACCAACUCCCAGAGUCGGACACAACGAGACUUAACCCUUAUCUUUAUCUCAGAUUCGGUUUGGUUAUUUGGGGUGCUGAUUCAGAAAAUUGCAUUGGAUAGACCAUAUCAUCUCUAGUUCUGAUAUAGAACAUAUGCCAUCCAGUAGUCUCCAUCUGCUCGCCCACAGAAAACCAUAUUUAAUAAUCUAGAGCUGUUGUGAUAGUAGUAAUCUUUUGUGGGUAGUCAAGCCUCACCCAUCCCGACAUCCCAGUUGUCUUGGCACUAUAAGAGAGUUUCGCGAGACCAGUCGCUCUUGUUGCCGCAUAGUUUGAAAGCAACGGUGUAGUAAUGGCGAGUCUGUGGGCCAUAUUUUCGUUCUUGAGGACCACUGGUGGUCCACGGACCACAGGUUGGGAACCACUGGUGUAGAUGCACCCUUCAUAGACCUUUGCAAAUGAAUUUUUGAAAUAAAAUAUAAUAUCUA